CCCCGCCCACACCGUGGCCACGCCCCGGCCGCGUGCUCGCCCGCCAAGCCCCGCCCACCGCACGCCGCGCUGUUGGAGGGUCUCUGGCAUCUAAGCCGGAGCGCGCGGACGAAAGUGAGGCAGACGCCCCGUAAGCCGGUCGCCGCGCGGAAAGAGGCCGGGACUCGUCGGUCGCCGCGGGCUUGUGGAGGCCCACGGCGGCGUCGACAGCGCUCUGGACAUGGAGCCUCCGCCCGCGAGCAGCCAAGAAGGCGCCGCUUACCGCGGCCUAGGCGUCGAGGAGCUCCGAGGAGAACGGCCUGAUACGAAGCCUGUGGUGAUCUCAGUAACCGCAGGAGACGAAGAGAAGGAUCUCGAGUCCGAACCUGAGCUGGGGGCAGAGGCAGCCGCCGAAGAAAGCCACGGUGCCGCGGGAGCUCCCGGCCCCGUGGACGACGAAAACCAGAGGGGCGGCGGCGGUGGCGGCGGCGGCGGCGGCGGCGGCGACGAGGAGGAGGAGGAGGAGCCCCCGCAGCAGCAGGACGAGGCCUCCGCAGCCGCCGAGGGGCCGCGGCCCCAGGACCCGCAGCAGCGCCUCCACCGCGGCUUGUUCACCCGGUUGGAGCUGAAGGAGCUGGAGAGCGUUUUCCAACGCGCUCAAUACCCCGACGUGUUCGCGCGAAAGGAUCUUACAAUAUGCGUGGAUGUGUCAGAAACCAGUAAACCUGAAAAAAGCAAUUUGCCUGGGGAGCAAUCGUAAAACCUGCUUCACGUCUGAUGCUUCUGUUCUGCACAUUCCCAAGUUGUUUUGGUUAUCUUUUCCAUGUUUGGAAAAUAAGUUUUGAAGUUUAGGGCUUUGGUGAGUGGAAAAUGGGAUAAGUAAACCCUACUUUAUGGAAAUUGCCCAUUACCAGGAUUUUGAUUUCUUAAAGGAAAACGAUAAAAGAGAACCUGCUUCUCCUAUUUCCUGUGCAAAAUUAAAUACAAAUAAAGUUUUACUCUUUAUAACA
rnacentral:lncRNA from 1 species